AAGAAACGGAAAAUGAUUUAGUUAAUUCUGAUCAGAACAUUUGAUUUGUUAAUUUCAUUAAUUGAAACGUUGGCCAUCACCAUGCCUAUAUGCUGUUAAAAUGAAAACUGUUUAUAUUAUUUUUUUCUUGUAAAUUUGUAACUAUACAACUUGACAAAAAAAAUUUUUUUUCUUGUUAAUCUGUAUUAUGUGUGUUUUUUUCCGUCUUUAAUUUCUCACUUAAAUCUCAUUGGUGGUCUCAUGGGUUGCCAUUUUAGUUCAUGUUUUGGAUGCCUCUUAUGUCUUCUACCCCUGUGUUUAAGUCUCCCUUGCCCUUCAUGUGUUUCAUAUCUGCGAGUCUUAUGUUUUCAAGUUCCUGUUGUCAUGUCUGCGUCUCAUAGGUUUCCUGUUUUAUUUUGAAGAGGUCUUGUGUUCCUAUGUUCAGUGUGUUUAGUUUUACUCUCCCCUUGUGACGUUGUUAUGUGCAUUCAUAUCAGCUGUUUCCCCGUGUGUUUCCACUUCCCCUGAUCACCUCCUGUGUGUAUUUAGUCUGUGUGUUUCCGUUCAGUCGUUGUCAGACCGUCUGCAUUCCUUUGUCCGUGCCAUAUCAGAUUCAGUUAUUCCAUGGUCCAGCUCAGAUCAAGUCGCCACCAGGGGCUCAUUGAUUUUCGUGUGAGCGUGCAGGAGGCCUCUUCCCAUUUGCUGUUACGAUUUCCAUCUAUGGCAUUAUAUGCAAUGCCAAAUGAAUAUCUUGAUGACUGUGUGGCUUUUCCUUGGAGUGCAAGAUUCUCAUCUGCAAAAAGAACAAAUUUAAAAAAAAAAUCCUAAAGAAGAAUGCCUGGACAUCAGUUAAUGCCAUGAAGCUCAAGCACAAUUGGGUUAUGCUUCAGAACAAUGAUUUGAAACACACCACCACCUCCACCACCACCAUAACCUUCCAUAGAAAACAAUGGAAGGUUUUUGAGUGGCCUAGUCUAGACUUAAAUCAGCUUGAGAUGCUUUGGAAAAUGACCUUCAACAUGCCCCUCAUGCUCGAAAACCCUCCAACGUGACUGAAAAAUUCUGAAAAGAAGAGUAGGCCAAAGUUCUUCAUAUCCAGUUAUCACAAAAUGCUUGAUUGCUGUUCUUGGUAAUCUUUGUCCAGUAUUAAAAUUUGUUUGCUGAUCUGAAACAUUUAAGUGUGACCAAUACACAAAAAACCCCUAAGAAAUCAGGAAGGGGGCAAAUACUUUUCCAUUGCAUUAUAUAUAGUGGCAUAAAU